rnacentral:rRNA from 1 species
GACGAACGCUGGCGGCGUGCUUAACACAUGCAAGUCGAGCGGUAAGGCCCUUUCGGGGGUACGACGAGCGGCGAACGGGUGAGUAACACGUGGGUGACCUGCCCUCAGCUCUGGGAUAAGCCUGGGAAACUGGGUCUAAUACUGGAUAUGACUCCACGGUGCAUGUCGUGGGGUGGAAAGCCUUGUGCGGCUGAGGAUGGGCCCGCGGCCUAUCAGCUUGUUGGUGGGGUGAUGGCCUACCAAGGCGACGACGGGUAGCCGGCCUGAGAGGGCGACCGGCCACACUGGGACUGAGACACGGCCCAGACUCCUACGGGAGGCAGCAGUGGGGAAUCUUGCGCAAUGGGCGAAAGCCUGACGCAGCGACGCCGCGUGAGGGAUGACGGCCUGGUGU